rnacentral:rRNA from 1 species
UACGAAGGGAGCUAGCGUUGCUCGGAAUCACUGGGCGUAAAGGGUGCGUAGGCGGGUUUUUAAGUCAGAGGUGAAAUCCUGGAGCUCAACUCCAGAACUGCCUUUGAUACUGAGAAUCUUGAGUAUGGGAGAGGUGAGUGGAACUGCGAGUGUAGAGGUGAAAUUCGUAGAUAUUCGCAAGAACACCAGUGGCGAAGGCGGCUCACUGGCCCAUAACUGACGCUGAGGCACGAAAGCGUGGGGAGCAAACAGG